GCCAUAGCUCAAUGGCAUAACAACUGCCUUUCAUGCAGAAGACCUCAGGUUCAACCCCUGAUAUCUCCA